rnacentral:lncRNA from 1 species
CUGAACUACACCUGUGAAGUUGCAGCUCGAAGCCUGGCACAAUGGAGCACAACCUCUGAGAGCACAGUUUACGGAUGACGUAGAGACAAAUGAAGACAUACUCACACGCCAUUACAAGAAAUGCUUGGAGACCCACAGCCGGCCCCUCCAGAUCGCCCAUCUCAGCCUCCCGCCUCCCAAAAGCAAUGCUCCUACUGGCACCUAGUGGUGGACGGAGACACCAGCGGGAG